rnacentral:rRNA from 1 species
GAUGAACGCUGGCGGCGUGCUUAACACAUGCAAGUCGAACGGAAAGGCUCCUGCUUGCAGGGGUACUCGAGUGGCGAACGGGUGAGUAACACGUGGGUGAUCUGCCCUGCACUUCGGGAUAAGCCUGGGAAACUGGGUCUAAUACCGGAUAGGACGAUGGUUUGGAUGCCAUUGUGGAAAGUUUUUUCGGUGUGGGAUGAGCUCGCGGCCUAUCAGCUUGUUGGUGGGGUAAUGGCCUACCAAGGCGUCGACGGGUAGCCGGCCUGAGAGGGUGUACGGCCACAUUGGGACUGAGGUACGGCCCAGACUCCUACGGGAGGCAGCAGUGGGGAAUAUUGCACAAUGGGCGCAAGCCUGAUGCAGCGACGCCGCGUGGGGGAUGACGGCCUUCGGGUUGUAAACUCCCUUCGCUAGGGACGAAGCGCAAGUGACGGUACCUGGAGAAGAAGCACCGGCUAUCUACGUG